AGUCGUAACAAGGUCUCCGUAGGUGAACCUGCGGAGGGAUCAUUACACAAAUAUGAAGGCGGGCUGGAACCUCUCGGGGUUACAGCCUUGCUGAAUUAUUCACCCUUGUCUUUUGCGUACUUCUUGUUUCCUUGGUGGGUUCGCCCACCACUAGGACAAACAUAAACCUUUUGUAAUUGCAAUCAGCGUCAGUAACAAAUUAAUAAUUACAACUUUCAACAACGGAUCUCUUGGUUCUGGCAUCGAUGAAGAACGCAGCGAAAUGCGAUAAGUAGUGUGAAUUGCAGAAUUCAGUGAAUCAUCGAAUCUUUGAACGCACAUUGCGCCCUUUGGUAUUCCAAAGGGCAUGCCUGUUCGAGCGUCAUUUGUACCCUCAAGCUUUGCUUGGUGUUGGGCGUCUUGUCUCUAGCUUUGCUGGAGACUCGCCUUAAAGUAAUUGGCAGCCGGCCUACUGGUUUCGGAGCGCAGCACAAGUCGCACUCUCUAUCAGCAAAGGUCUAGCAUCCAUUAAGCCUUUUUUUUCAACUUUUGACCUCGGAUCAGGUAGGGAUACCCGCUGAACUUAGGCAUAUCAAUAAGCGGAGGAAAGUCG
rnacentral:rRNA from 1 species